AGAUUCUGCAGGGAAAAGAAAAGAAGAAGAAAAAAAAUAGAAAUGAAUAGGGCCAAACAGCAGCCAGUAGAACUGAGACACCAGCAUCACAUUCAGCCUGUGCCUAUACCGGCAUCUGAGCUCGGAUGAGGAGCAAGCACCUUGGCCAUCUGCUGCAGCUGGUCUCAGUGCCAGCACCUUCCCACCGCUGCAGUAACACUGGCUCUGCUCAUGCAGCACGUGCCAGCUGCAGCUCUCAGCACAUCUAUGGUACUCUGCAAGGGCAGAGGAGGUGAUUACCUGCAUCUCCCCACUGCUGGCACCCACUCAACUCAUCUCGUGCUCGGAACAGGAUGAGCUGUGCGGGCUUUUUCCCUGCACUCCCCUGUGGGGCUCAGUCUUCCCUCCCCAGGACGUCACCCCUGGGAACAGCCCCAUGCAGCCCCUCUACACCCCUUGGGCUCCACUGCUGAUCACUGUGAAGUGCUUAAAUGAACAUGGGAAGUGAAACGGGCUGCCUGCGUCCUGCUGCGGGCAAGCACUGUCCAUGCCAACACAUAACGCACAAUUACCCGCAUUGCACCGAGAGCAAAGCGGGAGGAGGGAGAGUAACCUUGACUUACCAGCUCAUAUUUCUACCUCGAGUGCCCAAGUCGCCAUGGAGAUCACGCACAUGUGAGCCGCAGACAGAUACGAUGCAUGGCUGCAAAAUGGCAGAGCCCAAGCAGAGCGUGCUGGGGAGCAGGGCGAGGUGUUGGGGAGCAUUUCUGCUCUGCUGCUGCAGGUCCUGCCACUUCGGAGCAGUCCGCAGGAGCGCACCGAGCAGAUUUAUCUCCAGAGGGUGCAGCUCAGGCUGAUACUGAUGCGGAUCUCUGAAAGAAUACAUGCAAGAAGGAACACAAUUUGUACUGAGUAUAUUGGUAAAUGCAAAGCCUACAGUAGAACAUGUGAAAAUUUGACUGUGCAAAACUGCCUGGGAGCUUGUCAUUAGGCAAUGAGAAGUCACCAAGCAGUGCAGCCCUGCUCACAGACAAAGGAAAUGUGGUUGCUGAACAACUCUGCACUGAACAAAUCCUUUCAGAUUGGGAAGAAGUUUCCCGUCACUGGAAAUAAAGAUUAGGAAUGACUAAAAGGUUUUGCUUCUUUCUCCUUGUCAAAGAUGUGCUUCUUCAGAGCAGAAGAUCUAACCUGGGGAGCAGGCACAAAGCUCCAACAAACUCCCUGAAGAAGAAAGGGAGAGGGAAAGCCCCAGGUAAAUAUCAUAAACCUAACUUUGAAAGUGGUGGAUGAAAAAUUUCAAAAGGCAGCUCGGGUACGACAGUCACCCACCCUUAACAAGGAAAAAAGUUUGCUUUGCGUCUCAGAAAACCACUCCAAAAACAUCCCAGUACUUUUGUCGGUGAGUAAAGCAAGAGGAGGGCUGUAAGAGAAACGCACCCAAUACAAAAAAAAAAAAAACCCCACAUACUAAGAGACAUAUACCGAAGGAAAAGGUUUCAAAUAUUUACAAGGCAUUUUCUGAGGGCUCCAGACAGCACUCUGGCCCCCACAGUGUGCCUGUAACGGAAUCCCCAACCUGGGCAGUGGGCAGGAGGGCAGCGGGAAGGAGAGCGGAGUUGGGACACAUGUGUGGGCUCCUUCCAGGAGCACCAUGGUAGCAGGGGCAGGUCCAGAUGUGGGCAGGAGCCAAGCUUCAGUGUUCCACUGCUCAUGAAAUAAACAUUUCCCUGGAGUGGUUCUGCCCCAAAGAACUCAUUUCCUGGCAUUAUUCACAAAAUUGCAGUAAGUGGCUAAUAGGAAGACAUAAAACUUGGCUUGAAGUACAUUUUCUGUGUGUCUUUUUUUCCAUCUUUCACAAAUUUCCAUAUCUUUCACAAUGCCCCCUUCUUACCUUACUGUUUUAGACUGAAACAAUCAUUUUAGUAGAUCGUAUCGAUUGAUUUCUGUAGGAUCUGAAAAUGAGUCUUCAUUGAGAUAAGUCUUUACAAUUAAAAUUAUGUUAUUUAA